GACAGAAGACACAACACCUCCUACUGGGACACCUAGAGGUUUAACGGCUUGUGGCACAUGUUAAGUGCCAUCGAGUUUACCUGCGAAAGUAGUUUAGUUAGUUUUUGUUUUGUUUUGUUUCUGUUUUAAUUUCUUAUUUUGCUCGAGGACUAGGAAAAAAUAGGUUUUAGAUAGUUUGACAAGUGCAUUUUUUCCUAUAUUUUUAUACCUCUUAUAUUUGGUUUUUGUGUGAAAGUUAAUUAAAAAGAGC
rnacentral:lncRNA from 1 species